ACGAACGUUAACAUUAUUCAUUAAAAAUAACCAACGCAUCCUUAUUUUCUACCAUGAACUACAGAGCUCUUACUUUCUCAUUGCAUAAUGAGGAUACGUAGAGACGAGGAUUUGAAUCCUUUGCGAGUACUUUAAUUAUUAACCCCUUCAAUCAUUCAUAAUUAAUCUUUAGAUACAAUACCCAUUCAAGCAAAGAACAAUCAAAAUGGUUCUCGUUGAGUACAAUGGAUGUGAGGGAUGCUAAUACCUUCCUCUUACAUAACC
rnacentral:lncRNA from 1 species